UGGGGAGAAGCUUGGUGGUAGAGCAUAUGUUUACCAUGCAUGAGGCCCUGGGUUCGAUCCCCAGCACCAA
rnacentral:tRNA from 1 species